GAACGUAGGUGGAAAUCCCAGAGAGGAAGAAGAGAGAGAAUAAGGAUGAUAUUUCGUGGGUUUUUACGAAUUUGAUCGUAUUCGAUCGUCUCUUUUUUCGGAGAGAAAAGGGGGCGUAUAUAUAGAAUAACAAAACCCCUAAAUAUCCUGAAUCUCAUAUAGAUUAGGAUAAGGAUCAGGAUAUCUAUUAACAUAUAAUAGAUAUCCACUAGUAGAUAUGUUUCUUAACUGAUAAGAAACAUAUGAUUCAUUCUUAUCCUAAACUU
rnacentral:lncRNA from 1 species